rnacentral:rRNA from 1 species
UACGUAGGGGGCAAGCGUUGUCCGGAUUUAUUGGGCGUAAAGAGCGUGUAGGCGGCUUGGUAGGUCCGCUGUGAAAACUCGAGGCUCAACCUCGAGAUGUCGGCGGAAACCACUUGGCUAGAGUCCGGAAGAGGAGAGUGGGAUUCCCGGUGUAGCGGUGAAAUGCGCAGAUAUCGGGAAGAACACCUAUGGCGAAGGCAGCUCUCUGGGACGGUACUGACGCUGAGACGCGAAAGCGUGGGGAGCGAACAGG